GAGUUUUCAAUGAACCAGUCCUGUCAUGUGAUUAGGGCAGCUUUUGGACAGAAGAUGUGGGAUGCCAAAAAUAGCAGGGUUAGGUCAUGCUGCUGCUACUAAUUUUGAUGACAAGGGAUGGUAUUUCAUCUACUGUUAGAAGCAUGGCAAAGUUGUUUUUGCAAUUAAGCAAAGGCCUUGGUUCUAGGAACUUUGGAGCAGGUUUUU
rnacentral:lncRNA from 1 species